rnacentral:rRNA from 1 species
AAUAUUGGACAAUGGGGGCAACCCUGAUCCAGCCAUGCCGCGUGAGUGAUGAAGGCCUUAGGGUUGUAAAGCUCUUUCACCGGUGAAGAUAAUGACGGUAGCCGGAGAAGAAGCCCCGGCUAACUUCGUGCCAGCAGCCGCGGUAAUACGAAGGGGGCUAGCGUUGUUCGGAAUUACUGGGCGUAAAGCGCACGUAGGCGGAUCGGUCAGUUAGGGGUGAAAUCCCAGGGCUCAACCCUGGAACUGCCUUUAAUACUGCCGGUCUUGAGUUCGAGAGAGGUGAGUGGAAUUCCGAGUGUAGAGGUGAAAUUCGUAGAGAUGCGGAGGAAUACCGAUGGCGAAGGCAGCCCCCUGGGAUAAUACUGACGCUCAGGCACGAAAGCGUGGGGAGCAAAC